rnacentral:rRNA from 1 species
GUUUGACUGGGGCGGUCUCCUCCCAAAGCGUAACGGAGGAGCACGAAGGUUAGCUAAUCCUGGUCGGACAUCAGGAGGUUAGUGCAAAGGCAUAAGCUAGCUUGACUGCGAGAGUGACGGCUCGAGCAGGUGCGAAAGCAGGUCUUAGUGAUCCGGUGGUUCUGAAUGGAAGGGCCAUCGCUCAACGGAUAAAAGGUACUCCGGGGAUAACAGGCUGAUACCGCCCAAGAGUUCAUAUCGACGGCGGUGUUUGGCACCUCGAUGUCGGCUCAUCACAUCCUGGGGCUGAAGUAGGUCCCAAGGGUAUGGCUGUUCGCCAUUUAAAGUGGUACGCGAGCUGGGUUUAGAACGUCGUGAGACAGUUCGGUCCCUAUCUGCCGUGGGCGUUGGAAGAUUGAGGGGGGUUGCUCCUAGUACGAGAGGACCGGAGUGAACGCACCGCUGGUGUUCGGGUUGUC